UACAGGGGGUGCAAACGUUGCUCGGAAUUAUUGGGCGUAAAGCGCGCGUAGGCGGCUACCUAAGUCGGAUGUGAAAGCCCCUGGCUUAACUGGGGAAGUGCACCCGAAACUGAGUAGCUAGAGUGCGAAAGAGGGUCGCGGAAUUCCCGGUGUAGAGGUGAAAUUCGUAGAUAUCGUAAGGAAGACCAGUGGCGAAGGCGGAUCUCUGGACAGUUACUGACACUGAGGCACGAAGGCCAGGGGAGCAAACGGG
rnacentral:rRNA from 1 species